rnacentral:rRNA from 1 species
UACGUAGGGUGCGAGCGUUGUCCGGAAUUACUGGGCGUAAAGAGCUCGUAGGUGGUCUGUCGCGUCAUUUGUGAAAGCCCGGUGCUUAACUCCGGGUUGGCAGGUGAUACGGGCAUGACUGGAGUACUGUAGGGGAGACUGGAAUUCCUGGUGUAGCGGUGAAAUGCGCAGAUAUCAGGAGGAACACCGGUGGCGAAGGCGGGUCUCUGGGCAGUAACUGACGCUGAGGAGCGAAAGCGUGGGGAGCGAACAGGAUUAGAUACCUGGUAGU